UGGGGAAUUUUGGACAAUGGACGAAANUCUGAUCCAGCCAUGCCGCGUGCGGGAAGAAGGCCUUCGGGUUGUAAACCGCUUUUGUCAGGGAAGAAAAGCGCUGGGCUAAUACCCCGGCGUCAUGACGGUACCUGAAGAAUAAGCACCGGCUAACUACGUGCCAGCAGCCGCGGUAAUACGUAGGGUGCAAGCGUUAAUCGGAAUUACUGGGCGUAAAGCGUGCGCAGGCGGCUUUGCAAGACAGAUGUGAAAUCCCCGGGCUCAACCUGGGAACUGCAUUUGUGACUGCAAGGCUAGGGUACGGUAGAGGGGAGUGGAAUUCCGCGUGUAGCAGUGAAAUGCGUAGAUAUGCGGAGGAACACCGAUGGCGAAGGCAGCUCCCUGGACCUGUACUGACGCUCAUGCACGAAAGCGUGGGGAGCAAACAGGAUUAGAUACCCUGGUAGUCCACGCCCUAAACGAUGUCAACUGGUUGUUGGGAGGGUUUCUUCUCAGUAACGUAGCUAACGCGUGAAGUUGACCGCCUGGGGAGUACGGCCGCAAGGUUG
rnacentral:rRNA from 1 species